CCUACGGGAGGCUGCAGUGGGGAAUAUUGGACAAUGGGCGAAAGCCUGAUCCAGCCAUGCCGCGUGUGUGAAGAAGGCCUUCGGGUUGUAAAGCACUUUCAGUGGGGAAGAAAGCCUUGGGGCUAAUACCCUCGAGGAAGGACAUCACCCACAGAAGAAGCACCGGCUAACUCCGUGCCAGCAGCCGCGGUAAUACGGAGGGUGCGAGCGUUAAUCGGAAUUACUGGGCGUAAAGCGCGCGUAGGCGGUCUGAUAAGCCGGUUGUGAAAGCCCCGGGCUCAACCUGGGAACGGCAUCCGGAACUGUCAGGCUAGAGUGCAGGAGAGGAAGGUAGAAUUCCCGGUGUAGCGGUGAAAUGCGUAGAGAUCGGGAGGAAUACCAGUGGCGAAGGCGGCCUUCUGGACUGACACUGCCGCUGAGGUGCGAAAGCGUGGGUAGCAAACAGGAUUAGAUACCCGAGUAGUC
rnacentral:rRNA from 1 species